rnacentral:rRNA from 1 species
GAACGCUGGCGGCGUGCUUAACACAUGCAAGUCGAACGGUGAAGGGAUCAGCUUGCUGGUUCUGGAUGAGUGGCGAACGGGUGAGUAACACGUGAGUAACCUGCCCCCUUCUUCUGGAUAACCGCAUGAAAGUGUGGCUAAUACGGGAUAUUCUGCGCCUGCUGCAUGGUGGGUGUGGGAAAGAUAUUGUUUCGGUGGGGGAUGGGCUCGCGGCCUAUCAGCUUGUUGGUGGGGUGAUGGCCUACCAAGGCGGUGACGGGUAGCCGGCUUGAGAGGGUGGACGGUCACACUGGGACUGAGACACGGCCCAGACUCCUACGGGAGGCAGCAGUGGGGAAUAUUGCACAAUGGGCGCAAGCCUGAUGCAGCGACGCCGCGUGAGGGAUGGAGGCCUUCGGGUUGUGAACCUCUUUCGCCAGUGAAGCAGGCCUGUCCCUUGUGGGUGGGUUGACGGUAGCUGGAUAAGAAGCGCCGGCUAACUACGUG